rnacentral:rRNA from 1 species
UACGAAGGGGGCUAGCGUUGCUCGGAAUCACUGGGCGUAAAGGGUGCGUAGGCGGGUUUUUAAGUCAGAGGUGAAAUCCUGGAGCUCAACUCCAGAACUGCCUUUGAUACUGAGAAUCUUGAGUAUGGGAGAGGUGAGUGGAACUGUGAGUGUAGAGGUGAAAUUCGUAGAUAUUCGCAAGAACACCAGUGGCGAAGGCGGCUCACUGGCCCAUAACUGACGCUGAGGCACGAAAGCGUGGGGAGCAAACAGG